rnacentral:rRNA from 1 species
UACGUAGGGAGCAAGCGUUAUCCGGAUUUAUUGGGUGUAAAGGGUGCGUAGACGGGGAAAUAAGUUAGUUGUGAAAGCCCUCGGCUUAACUGAGGAACUGCAACUAAAACUGUAACUCUUGAGUGCUGGAGAGGAAAGUGGAAUUCCUAGUGUAGCGGUGAAAUGCGUAGAUAUUAGGAGGAACACCAAUGGCGAAGGCAGCCCCCUGGGAUACGACUGACGCUCAUGCACGAAAGCGUGGGGAGCAAACAGG